CAAUAGCGUAUAUUAAAGCUGUUGCGGUUAAAAAGCUCGUAGUUGGAUUUCUGUCAAGGACCACUGGUCCGCCCCUCGGGUGAGCACAUAGUUUGGUCUUGGCAUCUUGUUGGAAACUGUUGCUGCACUUGGUUGUGUGGCGCAGUGUCCAGCACUUUCACUUUGAGGAAAUUGGAGUGUUUCAAGCAGGCACAUGCCUUUGGACACAGUAGCAUGGAAUAAUUAGAUUGGGCUUUUGCUCCAACUUGUCGGUUUCUGGAGCUGAGGUGAGAAUUAAUGGGGAUUGUUGGGGGCAUCCGAAUUUAGCCGUCAGAGGUGAAAUUCUUGGAUCUGCUAAAGACGGACAACUGCGAAAGCGUUUGCCCAGGAUGUUUUCAUUGA
rnacentral:rRNA from 1 species